GUACCUAGUAACCAACUGUAACGUCAUAUAGGUUGGGUGGUAAUGGGUCUCAAAGCAACAAACAUUACUGCGUACAAGGAUUGCAUAGCCCUAUUCAGAAACUGAAAACUUGGUACAUUUACCAAAAUCCGGGCGAUCAUGUACAUUGCGCUUUAUGAUCACUAGGCGAGGCUAUUUGGGGUGAACAUGGGAAUUCAAUGUUCAAUUAUAAACCCAAAACGACAUGC
rnacentral:lncRNA from 1 species